rnacentral:rRNA from 1 species
UGAGGAAUAUUGGUCAAUGGACGCAAGUCUGAACCAGCCAUGCCGCGUGCAGGAAGACGGCUCUAUGAGUUGUAAACUGCUUUUGUAUUAGGGUAAACUCAGGUACGUGUACCUGACUGAAAGUAUAAUACGAAUAAGGAUCGGCUAACUCCGUGCCAGCAGCCGCGGUAAUACGGAGGAUCCAAGCGUUAUCCGGAUUUAUUGGGUUUAAAGGGUGCGUAGGCGGUUUGAUAAGUUAGAGGUGAAAUACCGGGGCUUAACUCCGGAACUGCCUCUAAUACUGUUGAACUAGAGAGUAGUUGCGGUAGGCGGAAUGUAUGGUGUAGCGGUGAAAUGCUUAGAGAUCAUACAGAACACCGAUUGCGAAGGCAAUCCCCUGGACCUGUACUGACGCUCAUGC